UCGAUUCGGGUUCAACUUAGUUAGGUGGCUUCCUGGACAUUGUUGUCGUGAAGGAGAGUGCGAGUCGUGACACUCCACCUUUUUGCCAUUGCCUUUGGAGUUGAUCGUGCGUGUGGGCACAUUUGGGCACCCCUGCAGGGUUAAAUCUUAUCGAUAAGCCGUGUCCGCGGUUAUGGACGACUUGGAGCUGUAUGACUCGACCAUAGACAACUUACACCUGUUGUUUCAAUACUAAUAACUUGUGUAGUAAGUAGCAUAACUUCAAUAAUAAUGGUUAAAAAUUGUCAACCGUGUGAGUGCCCUUGUAAGUAUUUCCUUGCGAGGGGGGAACACAUCGGUUGUGUUAUGUUUGCAGAGUAUAGAACUGUUAGUUGUGCGCUCUCUCACCUUCUCUGAUAGACGACUGUUGUAGAGUGUCUCUAUAGGUUUUUAGUGCUUGCGCGCUACCGCUUAACCCCACCAUACUGCCUAUGACGUUCCUCUUGCGUCCUCUAAGUCCCCUGCGUGCCUCAAGUACAAAGGACGACUGGUUGACGAAUGCUUAUACGUCUUGAAGUCUUGUUAAGUACGAACCCGUACUUAUUGCUGCUUCUACGGGAUAUAACCGGGCAGGUAUGAAGAUCGGUACGAUGAAGAACGACGCUAGCAAGGUUACCCUUCCGGCUUGGCCUGGGCAGGGUUAUGGACGCCAUUUGGUUAUCUUCAGGACUCUUAGUCCAAUUGGUAUUUUGUCCGUACUCGGACGUAUUUGAUCUUCUGUAUGAUUCAGAUCUUUGUAUUGUAUAUUUAUAUCUUGACUCGUUGGAGUCAUUGUUGUAAUAUAUAUGUAUCUUGUGGGCUCUAUUGUAAUCCUGUUGUAAUGUUACCGCUCGUGAUUGAUUCCACCCGCAUCGCGUGCAUGCUUCGGCGUGUACGAGGCGCUUGGUGGUGCGUCUCCUAGAAUUGAUAUCGUGCGGAUUUCGGCGGAUUCGCUGGGAUCCUCAUGGUACCGGUUCUGGGGCAUCACAAGUUGGUAUCAGAGCCUCAGGUUGACGGUACCCCACUAGUCUAGCCUUUAGGAUAACCUUGCCAACGGUCGUUGAGUUUAGAGCGUUCAAACUAUUUUCCAAAAUUCGUUGGAUAGUUCUGACUAGCUCUGAUUUUCUUCUUACCUAUAUUCUUUCUCUUCUUACCUUUGCGAGUUUUGAGUCUCCUCCCUUAUCUGAGUUUUCUGAGUCCUAGGUUCCGACGCGGGUUGGACGAUCUUUGCCUUAACCUAAUAGGUCCGAUCUUUGAAGAUUUAUGUUGGAAGCAUCUCAUCAUCGACGGAGCAACAACCAUUGUUAGUGGUGUCGACCUGAACAACAUGAAGCAAGAACUCUUGUUAGUGGUGUCGAGGAGAUCGACACGUCGCCUGAAUAUUCGAUAGUUCACCUCUUCCCCCUCCCCCCGUACCAUGGCGUGGGAUCUCGGGGCGCGAUCCCUUGUUAGUGGUGUCAAUUGUAACGGCCCACGAAAAUACCCCUAAUAGAUUUGCUUGUUGUUUUCCUUUAUGCAUCAACAUGGCAUCAUGCAUCAUAUCAUCCAUAUUUUUUUUACAAAAUAAAACUAUUUUAUAAACCCUAAUUAUUUGUGUUUUCUUCUCAUAUGGUUUAAUAAAACCUCCCAUCUUUCUUCUUAUUUUUAAAGAAAACCAUAUACAAAUUAUUUUAUAAAUGUUGCAAAAUUGUUUACAAUAAAAUAAAGCUUUCAAAACUUUUUCAAACUCUUCCUCUGUUUUUUUCUUUGGCCGAGAAUCAAAUCUGAAGAAGGGGAACCACAAAGAAGGUUGAAGCAGCUCAACUUCCUACAGUCUAACAUCGUAAUAUCUUCCUUGUAUUCCUGGGAUGAGUCACGCAUCAACCACUCCCCUCAAUCUGCUUUAUCUCUAAGAGCAAGCACAGCCACAUGGAGCACGCCUUCCUCUCCAUCCUUUCCCCAUCUAAUUCCCAUCAGAUCAAGGCUAACCCUAGCUCUGUUUUCCUCCUCUUGCCUGCCGCCAUUCUCCUUCUCUUUCUCCAUGCCAACAACAGGCAGAAAAAAUUCAGUUAAUCAUCGCUGGACAAAAUCCUCAACCGUGAUGCCGUCUCUCGCUGCCUUCCGUCGUGCCGACGACGGGGAUGGAACCGCCUUGAUAUCCGCUGCAUCCUCGUCGCCUGCAAGGAGUCGGAGCUGCUCUAGACGGACAAGGCCGUCCUCGACCUCCGCUCUGACCGCCGGCGUCUUCAACCAUCUGCGGUCACUCCGGUGCUCCUCCGUCGUCCCUGAGCUCGCCCACUUCGCCAUUAAGCCCAGGCAUUUGCUUCUUCCCGGAUAUGAUCAGGAAGUGGUGUGGUGAGAUACGACAAGUUCUCCGCAUGUUCCUCGGCAAGCUUUAACAGG